GCAGAAAGACUUCAGAGUGAUACAAAUUAGUAUCAGUAUUAAUACUGUAUGAGCUCUAUAAUGCAUGAUGAUGAAGCGUUUCAAAAAGACAUUCAAGGCAUGGGCUAUUGGUUAUGACGAUCGAUGUUUGUAUUACCAUACUGGUAUCGCUCAUUCUGAAUUGAUGAAGAAAUGAUGGAAAUUAAUAAACGCACCACUACGAUUAAAUAGAACAAGUAGUGCUAUUUUGUCAUCUAACAACAAACACAGCAUCUGGCACCGCAAUAGCAACAUCAUCAGAACUGGAAUUUCUUGAAUCAUCCUAGUACUGAAGAUACAGUAUUAAUUAGAGAAUAGGAAGAACAAUCAUAUUCGACGCCCACGUCUUUAAAAUUAUGGCAAUACUGAUGAUGGCAUUUGCAAAGAAUAUUUAAGAAUAUUCAACAAACAUCUUUUCAAGAUAUCACAAUGAAAAGAAAAAGAGUAUUUGGUUAUGACAGUACUCAGGAGUAAAUCCUGCAAUCUGUAUAACAUUGAACAGAUAAGUUUAUUGAUAACAGAAAGAGUCUUUGAAGCAACGUUUCCUUUCAAGAGUGAUAGAAGCAAAAGGAAAAUUUACAAAAAAAUCUCAAAACAUGUAAUAGAAAGCAAUGAUAGUACAUACCAAGUGAAUUCAUCAAGAGCAGGCAUGCUAAUCCACUAAGCAGUUUGAAGUAAAGCAACUACUAAAAAGCAGCAUCAAGCCGGCACUACGGAGGCUGCGGAAUAAAUGAUUUUGGCAAACGACAUUUUACAUGGAAAGGAAGGUCCUUUAACUCAUAAUUUCACACAUUGCGAAUCAUUUCGAUGCUGAUCACUAUAUGUUUUAGAUAUCAUAUGUGAAAUAUGACUAUGUCAAUUGAUUCUAUGUCCGAGAUCGAAUGUAAAACAGUGAUAGGAGUGUAUCUGGGUCUGGAUCAGUAUGAGAUCAAGACCGACAAAUACCUUAAUAGUAUUUCACAGUCUGGAAUGUCUAUUCUGAAUAAAAUAUUGAAUUUUAUAUUGCUGCGAAUAAAAAUCGCAACUCCACCAGUCAUAUCAUGGAGGAAAUCUCCUUUAAUAAUAUUAUAACCUGAAAAGCUCAAUUGAAUUGAAGGAACCAACUAAGUUUCCUAAGUAACCAAAGCGAUAUCGCAUUUAUUCAUGAAGUAAUUAAACUUCAAAUUUUUGUUGUUGA